rnacentral:rRNA from 1 species
AGUGAACGCUGGCGGUAGGCCUAACACAUGCAAGUCGAACGGCAGCACAGUAAGAGCUUGCUCUUACGGGUGGCGAGUGGCGGACGGGUGAGGAAUACAUCGGAAUCUACUUUUUCGUGGGGGAUAACGUAGGGAAACUUACGCUAAUACCGCAUACGACCUACGGGGGAAAGCAGGGGAUCUUCGGACCUUGCGCGAUUGAAUGAGCCGAUGUCGGAUUAGCUAGUUGGCGGGGUAAAGGCCCACCAAGGCGACGAUCCGUAGCUGGUCUGAGAGGAUGACCAGCCCCACUGGCGCUGAGCCACGGUCCAGACUCCUACGGGAGGAACCAGUGGGGCACACUGGACUAAGGGCGUAAGCCGUACCGAGCCAGCCCGCGUGGGUGAGGAAGACCUCCGCGUUGUAAAGCACUCUUUUGGGGGAAGCAAGGCAGGAGGUUGAUGCCUCGCUGGCCUGACGGUACCGAGACAAUGAGCAAGGGCUAACUACGUG